rnacentral:rRNA from 1 species
AGUGACAGGUGGUGCAUGGUUGUCGUCAGCUCGUGUCGUGAGAUGUUGGGUUAAGUCCCGCAACGAGCGCAACCCUUGAUCUUAGUUGCCAGCAUUCAGUUGGGCACUCUAAGGUGACUGCCGGUGACAAACCGGAGGAAGGUGGGGAUGACGUCAAAUCAUCAUGCCCCUUAUGACCUGGGCUACACACGUGCUACAAUGGGCAGAACAAAGGGCAGCGAAGCCGCGAGGCUAAGCCAAUCCCACAAAUCUGUUCUCAGUUCGGAUCGCAGUCUGCAACUCGACUGCGUGAAGCUGGAAUCGCUAGUAAUCGCGGAUCAGCAUGCCGCGGUGAAUACGUUCCCGGGCCUUGUACACACCGCCCGUCACACCACGAGAGUUUGUAACACCCGAAGUCGGUGAGGUAACCUUUUGGAGCCAGCCGCCGAAGGUGGGACAGA